rnacentral:lncRNA from 1 species
AUGCAGAAAGGGUGCUGGCUUGCUUUUAUCACAUCAAAGCCUGAUAACAGCAAUUCUGUGCUUACCAACCUCCCUCAUGAGCGUAUACAGCAUCCACAGAUGCCUUUGAAGACUUCUGCUGAGGAUCAUGGACCAUGUCCUAGUUCUCUAAUCCUGCAAGGAGAUAACAGUCCCACAAUGGAGGAAAUGGGCAAAAGUGAUGGAAUCAGUGAGCUGAAACAUCUGCACAUCACCAGCAGCUGCCACUGCCCUCAAGGAAAUCUUCCAGAGAAGUCCUUUGAAGGCAAAUUGCUUACCCAAAAAAGCACUUGGAUAAGUGAAGGAUACAGGAGAGUAGAAGAGAGAUCCCAAGAUAUAUUAUGGCCUGCAGAGGACAGUGGUUAUUUACAAGUAUCUCUAGAGCAGAGACACUUCUUCAUCCACUAUUCAUCCUCUCGUCAUAGCACCGCAGCAGUACACGAUGAUCAGUCAUUGCAAUGUAACAUAUGCCAACUCCAAAGGAAGUCGAGCCAACAGCACUCAAAAUAA